rnacentral:lncRNA from 1 species
AUGUGUGGCCAAUCGAUGCCUCCCGUCAAAGGUGAACCAGAGCAUCAAUUAAAAAGCAUGGGACACAUAUAUUUUUUUUUUUUUGCAAUUUCCCCACUGAAUUACGUGGUGGUAAGAGCUGAAAGAGUGUUGAGUUAUAUCGAGCCCGGAGCUCUCCUGUCACACUGCGGGAGUCCCAACUCUGAGGCACCGUCUGUCAUAAUACAGUCCAGUUGUGCGAUGUAUGGAGAAUAGGGUGCCAAUAUAGGACACAGUAUCCCCUAUAUAGACAUAGGGUCCAUUUUGGACACAGGGCCAGUCUUCUCUAAACCACUUGUCUAGUCACAAUGUGGGAAAUCACAAGAAACCUAUGACAAUGGGGUAUGACAUUGAUCAACUUGGAAUGCCAUUGUGGUGAAUACGCUCCUAAGGACUUGAUAGAAUAUGGUAGCUAGAUAUAACCGACUGGCUUGAUAUCUGGACGGAGGCAGUGAGACAGACACAACAUGGACGGAUUGGAGGUAUGGACGGCGUUAAAAGGGCAGUGAACUGAAGCAGCUCGGUGGCCCAGCCUGGAUAGAGACAGUAGACUGAAACGGAACACGGCUGCUCUGGAGAUACCAAAGACAUCGGGGCGAAUCCUAACUUCCACUAAAGUCUAUGUUUAGGUUAGUGAUGCAUUGAUGUCAAUGGGAGAGAACGUGAACAUUUACUCACGUGGAAGUUGGCCCCAUGGAGCCUAAGUAACUGAUGGUAAGCAAUGAAGAGCAGAGUGAUAACCGUACUCUGAUGAAGAGAUAAUGAGAAGACUAACACACUGACUGAAACACUGUGUGUGUGUGUGUGUGUGGUGUGUGUGUAAUACUCAGAAAUGUCUGGCAAUAGUGAGUAUGUGUGUGUGUCAGCGAAUGUAGUAGAGCCAAUGACCCUCUCUGGCUGGUUUGUUCUGACACAUAGACUAGCGAGCUAGAUCUUUAACUGCAGCUCCCUAAAACGCAGUGAGAAUCACUGUACAUGUUUAGCAGGCAUCUUGCCCGGCCAUUGUGCUACAACUAGCGUAGAAUAAAAGAGGAGUUCAGUCAGUCUUGAUACUGCCAUUUCAGUGAUGACCUCAUCGAUAUCGCUCUUACCCCAUUGAGGGAAACCUCUCCUCACUUCAAUGUUUUGUCUUUCUUGAAUCUCUGGUAGCAAUUUGGAGCGUAUACAGUUCUGUUGUGUGCUUUUUUUUGGUCAUUUCUAUUUGUCACCUAAUUUUCCUUGUAUGUCAUUGCUAUUGAAUCUUAGACGGUGACAAUAUGUGUAGCGCGUUUUGUGAUCAAAGGUGAGUGCGGUCAGAUUCCUACGGUUAAUCAAUGGUUUCUUCUUUAGUCUGUCUCUUAAAGUAGCAGCUGUAAGAGUGGUCUAUGAUGUAGAGCACAUCGUU